ACCUGCCUACUAGCGGGGGAUAACUAUUGGAAACGAUAGCUAAUACCGCAUAACAGCAUUUAACCCAUGUUAGAUGCUUGAAAGGAGCAAUUGCUUCACUAGUAGAUGGACCUGCGUUGUAUUAGCUAGUUGGUGAGGUAACGGCUCACCAAGGCGACGAUACAUAGCCGACCUGAGAGGGUGAUCGGCCACACUGGGACUGAGACACGGCCCAGACUCCUACGGGAGGCAGCAGUAGGGAAUCUUCGGCAAUGGGGGCAACCCUGACCGAGCAACGCCGCGUGAGUGAAGAAGGUUUUCGGAUCGUAAAGCUCUGUUGUAAGAGAAGAACGUGUGUGAGAGUGGAAAGUUCACACAGUGACGGUAACUUACCAGAAAGGGACGGCUAACUACGUGCCAGCAGCCGCGGUAAUACGUAGGUCCCGAGCGUUGUCCGGAUUUAUUGGGCGUAAAGCGAGCGCAGGCGGUUUAAUAAGUCUGAAGUUAAAGGCAGUGGCUUAACCAUUGUUCGCUUUGGAAACUGUUAGACUUGAGUGCAGAAGGGGAGAGUGGAAUUCCAUGUGUAGCGGUGAAAUGCGUAGAUAUAUGGAGGAACACCGGUGGCGAAAGCGGCUCUCUGGUCUGUAACUGACGCUGAGGCUCGAAAGCGUGGGGAGCAAACU
rnacentral:rRNA from 1 species